rnacentral:rRNA from 1 species
CGUAGGGCGCAAGCGUUGUCCGGAAUUAUUGGGCGUAAAGAGCUCGUAGGCGGCUUGUCACGUCGGAUGUGAAAGCCCGGGGCUUAACCCCGGGUCUGCAUUCGAUACGGGCAGGCUAGAGUGUGGUAGGGGAGAUCGGAAUUCCUGGUGUAGCGGUGAAAUGCGCAGAUAUCAGGAGGAACACCGGUGGCGAAGGCGGAUCUCUGGGCCAUUACUGACGCUGAGGAGCGAAAGCGUGGGGAGCGAACAGGAUUAGAUACCCUGGUAGUCCACGCCGUAAACGUUGGGAACUAGGUGUUGGCGACAUUCCACGUCGUCGGUGCCGCAGCUAACGCAUUAAAUUCCCCGCCUGGGGAGUACGGCCGCAAGGCUA